CCCCGAGUGGUCGGGACGAUUAUUGGGCCUAAAGCAUCCGUAGCCGGUUCUACAAGUCUUCCGUUAAAUCCACCUGCUCAACAGUUGGGCUGCGGAGGAUACUAUAGAGCUAGGAGGCGGGAGAGGCAAGCGGUACUUAGUGGGUAGGGGUAAAAUCCGUUGAUCCAUUGAAGACCACCAGUGGCGAAGGCGGCUUGCCAGAGCGCGCUCGACGGUGAGGGAUGAAAGCUGGGGGAGCAAACCGG
rnacentral:rRNA from 1 species